GACGAACGCUGGCGGCGUGCUUAACACAUGCAAGUCUAACGGAAAGGCCCUGCUUUUGUGGGGUGCUCGAGUGGCGAACGGGUGAGUAACACGUGAGUAACCUGCCCUUGACUUUGGGAUAACUUCAGGAAACUGGGGCUAAUACCGGAUAGGAGCUCCUGCUGCAUGGUGGGGGUUGGAAAGUUUCGGCGGUUGGGGAUGGACUCGCGGCUUAUCAGCUUGUUGGUGGGGUAGUGGCUUACCAAGGCUUUGACGGGUAGCCGGCCUGAGAGGGUGACCGGCCACAUUGGGACUGAGAUACGGCCCAGACUCCUACGGGAGGCAGCAGUGGGGAAUAUUGCACAAUGGGCGGAAGCCUGAUGCAGCAACGCCGCGUGCGGGAUGACGGCCUUCGGGUUGUAAACCGCUUUCGCCUGUGACGAAGCGUGAGUGACGGUAAUGGGUAAAGAAGCACCGGCUAACUACGUGCCAGCAGCCGCGGUGAUACGUAGGGUGCGAGCGUUGUCCGGAUUUAUUGGGCGUAAAGGGCUCGUAGGUGGUUGAUCGCGUCGGAAGUGUAAUCUUGGGGCUUAACCCUGAGCGUGCUUUCGAUACGGGUUGACUUGAGGAAGGUAGGGGAGAAUGGAAUUCCUGGUGGAGCGGUGGAAUGCGCAGAUAUCAGGAGGAACACCAGUGGCGAAGGCGGUUCUCUGGGCCUUUCCUGACGCUGAGGAGCGAAAGCGUGGGGAGCGAACAGGCUUAGAUACCCUGGUAGUCCACGCUGUAAACGGUGGGUACUAGGUGUGGGGUCCAUUCCACGGGUUCCGUGCCGUAGCUAACGCUUUAAGUACCCCGCCUGGGGAGUACGGCCGCAAGGCUAAAACUCAAAGGAAUUGACGGGGCCCCGCACAAGCGGCGGAGCAUGCGGAUUAAUUCGAUGCAACGCGUAGAACCUUACCUGGGUUUGACAUGGAUCGGGAGUGCUCAGAGAUGGGUGUGCCUCUUUUGGGGUCGGUUCACAGGUGGUGCAUGCCUGUCGUCAGCUCGUGUCGUGAGAUGUUGGGUUAAGUCCCGCAACGAGCGCAACCCUUGUUCACUGUUGCCAGCACGUUAUGGUGGGGACUCAGUGGAGACCGCCGGGGUCAACUCGGAGGAAGGUGGGGAUGACGUCAAGUCCUCAUGCCCCUUAUGUCCAGGGCUUCACGCAUGCUACAAUGGCUGGUACAGAGAGUGGCGAGCCUGUGAGGGUGAGCGAAUCUCGGAAAGCCGGUCUCAGUUCGGAUUGGGGUCUGCAACUCGACCUCAUGAAGUCGGAGUCGCUAGUAAUCGCAGAUCAGCAACGCUGCGGUGAAUACGUUCCCGGG
rnacentral:rRNA from 1 species